CAGAAAGAAGUUGUGGAGCAUACCUGCUGGGAGAGGUCCAUGAAGGUGCAUCUCUGUUUUCCUGCAGACUUCAAACAUGUGCUACCAAGGUGUGCCAAGAUAAGCUCAUGGGACUGUUACAAAGAGCCAUAAUGAAAACAUCUGGAAACACCUCAGACUUCCACAGACUUGUCAGUGAAUAAUCCAGAGAUGGAACUUUGGAAAAAAAAGGGUUCAAAAACAAGAAGAAAGAAAAGGAAAAAGUACCUGGAGUUUUAUAGGUAUGGCCAGAGUGACACAGCUGCUUGAGCUCUCAUCUUCGUCAGUGAUGAGCCCUUUCCAUGACAUCUC
rnacentral:lncRNA from 12 species